GAAAGCUGCCAUACAAGCCAUGUAUAAACACACUGGGAUGCUCCAGGCAGGAGAAUCUAUCACUCAGCCCUGAAGCAAAUCUCUGCGCUUCUCUUGCAAAAACAGCUAUAACUCUCCGAAACUCGACAGUCUUCCCAGUUUAGGCCGCGCGUUUGCUGGGAGGAGGAACGCUCGCAGUCGCAGCUCCCCCGCGCCGCGGCGGCCGGAGGUGCGCGGCACAGCGCCGUGUGCCGGGACCGGCGUGCCAGCAACGCAGCCCGGCUCCUCAGGGCUCCUCGGCUGCGGGCCGGAUGGAGACCCCCCCGCGCCCACGUUCCCAGCCAGCAAAGCCGCGUUUGCAGGCUGAGAUACCCAGCGCCCGCAAAUCCUGCGAGAGGGGAGACCGUCCUGCAGGACAGGGGCGGGAAAAGAGCCCAGGACAACGGUGGGUGUGACAGAACCAACCAGGAGCACUGACAAAAUGAGUCCAGCGGUGCGCUGGCUGGCUUGGUGGUUCCUCUACUUUAUUGUCACUGUCUUCGCCACCCACUUGCAAAGCUGAAGGCAGAGCCAGGUUUCUUUGUUAGGGCAGGACGGCGGGAGCGCGGGCGCAGGGACCCCAGCCAGCGCCCCAAACUCCGCGUUGCUGUCAGUCUCCCCAGCUCCUUCACACCAGGUUUACAGCUGUAAGGAUUUGAUUUAGCAGCAAGAACUGCAGUGCUGUGGUGUGCUGCGCAGUCAAGAUCCUAUAUCAACGCUAUGCAUUACCACCGAAACACUGCCCCAGGAAAUUUAAGUAUAAGCAGGCAGAAUGUUGUUCUAAUUGUUAUGUUAGUACCUUCUGCAGCAAAUUAAUGCAUGAAACAUUUUCAUUUCGGUACAUAAGUUUGUGUGUGUCUGAGUUAAACAUUUAUGUUAAUGGACCUUCUGGCAGAUCUGUAAUGUUUCAAAUACUCUUGUAGAACAGCUUUUUCUAAAUACAUCAUUUAGCAGUU